UAAUUAUUUCGUCGAUACGGCCCAGUAUGGUAGUAAUGUCAAUUGCGCAGACCCUAAUAAUGAUUAGACAAAAAAAAAACCAAAUCUGAUCUUCUUCUUCUAUGCGGCCGUGAUGCGGAUCUUCUGCAAUUCUUCAUUGGAUCUGAAACGGUUUAUUAAUGGCUGUGUGGUAAAUCGCAUUGAUCAUCCCUCCACGAUUCAUCUUCAAUGUUUUGUGAAAGGCGGUCUCUAAACAGUAUAAAUAGAGGUCUGGCUGCUCAGAUUCUAGGACCCCAGAAACGUUAGACGCGGUGGCGAGUUGAUGAUGGGUGUCUACAUGCUCUUUGUCGAUUCUCAGAUGUGUUUCAGGCGACUUCCAUUCCAGCCACCAAUGAAAAGGAGGUAGCACUCAAGAUUCAAGAGGCAGAUGGUUCAUGGUAUUGAAGUUGGGUAGUUUGCUACACGUAUGCAACGUGGUUUUCUCUUGGAGGCUUGGCACGAACUGGUAAAACAUAUGAAAACUAUUUGGUUAUGCGUGAAGGUGUUGACUUCCUUCGAGAAACUAAACAACAAUGGAGGUUGGGAAGAAAGGGCGAGAGAGAUCUACUGCCUCUUCACCGUGUUGGGAAACUGAUCAUCAAUUCACAUUUAGAAAACAGAGACUACCCUCAACAGGAAAUGACAGGAGUGUUAAUGAAGAGUUGUAUUCUAAACAAUGUCACCUACAAGCAAAGAAUUGUAUUUGCAGAAACUAAGAAUUUUGUACUGAGAACCCCAUUCUCUUUUUUUCCUAACUAUUACUGUCACACAAACAAGUAGUUACAGUUAGUCAAACAAUAACAAUCUACUUACUUAUGCCAGUUCCAAA